ncrna:unclassified sequences Flavobacterium-1 RNA
CCGAGAUAGGGGUACAUAUUCUGCCACUGGCGAUUCCCUGGACCUUAGCGAUGAAGGCAUUUCAAAGCCUGAGCAACGACUCUCGGCGUUAGAUGGGGAGAGUGCCAGACGUGGUGUCCCCGCUGACG